rnacentral:rRNA from 1 species
UUAACGCUGAGGCGUGACGACGAGGCACUACGGUGCUGAAGUGAUAAAUGCCCAGCUUCCAGGAAAAGCCUCUAAGCAUCAGGUAACACAGAAUCGUACCCCAAACCGACACAGGUGGUCAGGUAGAGAAUACCAAGGCGCUUGAGAGAACUCGGGUGAAGGAACUAGGCAAAAUGGUGCCGUAACUUCGGGAGAAGGCACGCUGGCGCGUAGGUGGAGGGACUUGCUCCCCGAGCCGAAGCCAGUCGAAGAUACCAGCUGGCUGCAACUGUUUAUUAAAAACACAGCACUGUGCAAACACGAAAGUGGACGUAUACGGUGUGACGCCUGCCCGGUGCCGGAAGGUUAAUUGAUGGGGUUAUCCGUAAGGAGAAGCUCUUGAUCGAAGCCCCGGUAAACGGCGGCCGUAACUAUAACGGUCCUAAGGUAGCGAAAUUCCUUGUCGGGUAAGUUCCGACCUGCACGAAUGGCGUAAUGAUGGCCAGGCUGUCUCCACCCGAGACUCAGUGAAAUUGAACUCGCUGUGAAGAUGCAGUGUACCCGCGGCAAGACGGAAAGACCCCGUGAACCUUUACUACAGCUUGACACUGAACAUUGAGCCUUGAUGUGUAGGAUAGGUGGGAGGCUUUGAAGCGCGGACGCCAGUUCGCGUGGAGCCAACCUUGAAAUACCACCCUUUAAUGUUUGAUGUUCUAACGUAGGCCCGUUACCCGGGCUGCGGACAGUGUCUGGUGGGUAGUUUGACUGGGGCGGUCUCCUCCUAAAGAGUAACGGAGGAGCACGAAGGUCAGCUAAUCACGGUCGGACAUCGUGAGGUUAGUGCAAUGGCAUAAGCUGGCUUGACUGCGAGAGUGACGGCUCGAGCAGGUGCGAAAGCAGGUCAUAGUGAUCCGGUGGUUCUGAAUGGAAGGGCCAUCGCUCAACGGAUAAAAGGUACUCCGGGGAUAACAGGCUGAUACCGCCCAAGAGUUCAUAUCGACGGCGGUGUUUGGCACCUCGAUGUCGGCUCAUCACAUCCUGGGGCUGAAGUAGGUCCCAAGGGUACGGCUGUUCGCCGUUUAAAGUGGUACGCGAGCUGGGUUUAGAACGUCGUGAGACAGUUCGGUCCCUAUCUGCCGUGGGCGCUGGAGAAUUGAGGGGGGUUGCUCCUAGUACGAGAGGACCGGAGUGAACGCACCACUGGUGUUCGGGUUGUCAUGCCAAUGGCAUUGCCCGGUAGCUAAGUGCGGAAAAGAUAAGUGCUGAAAGCAUCUAAGCACGAAACUUGCCCCGAGAUGAGUUCUCCCUGACUCCUUGAGAGUCCUGAAGGGACGUUGAAGACUACGACGUUGAUAGGCCGGGUGUGUAAGCGCAGCGAUGCGUUGAGCUAACCGGUACUAAUGACCCGUGAGGCUUAACC